GACGAACGCUGGCGGCGUGCUUAACACAUGCAAGUCGUACGGUAAGGCCCUUUCGGGGGUACACGAGUGGCGAACGGGUGAGUAACACGUGAGUAACCUGCCCACAACUUUGGGAUAACGCUAGGAAACUGGUGCUAAUACUGGAUAUGUGCCCCUGCUGCAUGGUGGGGGUUGGAAAGCUCCGGCGGUUGUGGAUGGACUCGCGGCCUAUCAGCUUGUUGGUGGGGUAGUGGCCUACCAAGGCGGCGACGGGUAGCCGGCCUGAGAGGGUGACCGGCCACAUUGGGACUGAGAUACGGCCCAGACUCCUACGGGAGGCAGCAGUGGGGAAUAUUGCACAAUGGGCGCAAGCCUGAUGCAGCAACGCCGCGUGCAGGAGGACGGCCUUCGGGUUGUAAACCGCUUUCAGCAGGGACGAAGCUUUUUGUGACGGUACCUGCAGAAGAAGCACCGGCUAACUACGUG
rnacentral:rRNA from 1 species